rnacentral:rRNA from 1 species
GAUUUCUGGUUUGAUGUGCCUGUCCCAUCACGGUAACGUGUGUGAGUGACGGUGUAGAUCUGCCAUCCUUCUAGAUUCGGCAGGCUACUCUUUACUGAGCUGGUCUGUCUGUUCUAGAUCUUUUACUUUGAAAAAAUUAGAGUGUUUCAAGCAGGCUUUUGCUAUGAAUACAUUAGCAUGGAAUAAUGAGUUAGGACUUCGGUUCUAUUUUGUUGGUUUCUAGGACUGAAGUAAUGAUUGAUAGGGAUAGUUGGGGGUGCUAGUAUUCAGCGGCCAGAGGUGAAAUUCUCGGAUUCGCUGAAGACUAACUUAUGCGAAAGCAUU